GUGACCUCAAAUCAGGUAGGACUACCCGCUGAACUUAAGCAUAUCAAUAAGCGGAGGAAAAGAAACUAACAAGGAUUCCCCUAGUAACUGCGAGUGAAGCGGGAAAAGCUCAAAUUUAAAAUCUGGCAGUCUCUGGCUGUCCGAGUUGUAAUCUAGAGAAGUGUUAUCCGCGCUGGACCGUGUACAAGUCUCCUGGAAUGGAGCGUCAUAGAGGGUGAGAAUCCCGUCUUUGACACGGACUGCCAGGGCUUUGUGAUGCGCUCUCAAAGAGUCGAGUUGUUUGGGAAUGCAGCUCAAAAUGGGUGGUAAAUUCCAUCUAAAGCUAAAUAUUGGCGAGAGACCGAUAGCGAACAAGUACCGUGAGGGAAAGAUGAAAAGAACUUUGGAAAGAGAGUUAAACAGUACGUGAAAUUGCUGAAAGGGAAACGCUUGAAGUCAGUCGCGUUGGCCAGGGAUCAACCUUGCUUUUGCUUGGUGCACUUUCUGGUUGAUGGGUCAGCAUCAAUUUUGACUAUUGGAAAAAGGUCAAGGGAAUGUGGCAUCUUCGGAUGUGUUAUAGCCCUUAGCUGCAUACAAUGGUUGGGAUUGAGGAACUCAGCACGCCGCAAGGCCGGGUUUAACCACGUACGUGCUAGGAUG
rnacentral:rRNA from 2 species